rnacentral:rRNA from 1 species
AUUGAACGCUGGCGGCACGCCUAACACAUGCAAGUCGAGCGGCAGCGAGACUAGUAGCAAUACUAGUUGUCGGCGAGCGGCGGACGGGUGAGGAACACGUAGGAACCUGCCUAAGAGCGGGGGAUAACUAAUGGAAACGUUAGCUAAUACCGCAUAAUCUCGAGAGAGCAAAGCUGCAGCAAUGUAGCGCUAUUAGAGGGGCCUGCGUCCGAUUAGCCAGUUGGUGAGGUAAUGGCUCACCAAGGCGAUGAUCGGUAACGGGUCUGAGAGGACGACCAGUCACACUGGGACUGAGACACGGCCCAGACUCCUACGGGAGGCAGCAGUGGGGAAUCUUGGACAAUGGGGGCAACCCUGAUCCAGCGAUGCCGCGUGAGUGAAGAAGGCCUUCGGGUCGUAAAGCUCUUUAGGCUGGGAAGAAGGGUGGUUGAGGAAAUGCGAUCAUUUUGACUGUACCAGCAGAAUAAGCACCGGCGAACUCUGUGCCAGCCGCCGCAGUAA